rnacentral:lncRNA from 1 species
AAUUGUCACAGAAAUGGGGACUUUCGACAAAUCGUUACUGGGUUGAGUUCGGGCUUUUUGUGUGUAUUUUUAUAUGAACAGAAAUUGCCGUUCUUCAAACUCUGACCUAAACGUGCUUACUCCUUUUUACAUUAUAUGCUGAUUUUAGUCGGGUACAUGUUCCCAUUUUCCGAAUUGGAAAGUUAAUUCUCGUCAUAUUUAGGCGUAUUUUCUGUAUAUUCAAGCUUUUCUCAUUGUCCGACGUAAGGUAGGAACAAAAAGUGUGCGGGGAAUAUAAAAAACAGCUGUUUAAAGUAUUUGUGUGUUUUUUGAUAUGGUUAUCUUAUCUUUUUGUUUAUUCCUUAAAAUACCUCAAUUGUAACCAUAGACUGUAUAUAGAAUAGUUUAUAAUAUAGUAAUAUAAUAUAGUAUAAUAUAUUAUAUAUGUAUAAUAUAGUCUAUAUAUUCUAUACUAUACUAUAUAAAAUACGUAUCACUAUACUAUAUAUAAUUUAGUAAUAUAAUAAUAUAGUAUACACAGUAUGAUUGUAACAACUUGCCUUCCUUCUUAGCCCAUCAGUGUUGUUACUGUUAUCAUUCGUAUGCCUGUAGCUAUUUACCUUACAGCUCUAUGGUUAAAAAAAUAAUGAGUGUGUACCUAAUUAAAGAAGCCAAAUAUUAAUAGUUCCAUGUAGCUGAUAAAGGAAUACAAAAUUAAUUGCUAUCUAUUUGUGUUUAAUUUGUUAGCCCACACCUCAGGUUCAAUGGUUUAAAGAGAAAGAAAAGUUUGAUAGUUUAAUUGUAGGCGUGUGUUUGCUGUGUUUAUCGAGUACAUUGAUCCGUGUUGUAAACGUUUGCAACAAAAACAACAAGAGUUCAAGUAAAGGUCCUGGGUUUCUUGGUCGGACCCAGGUAGAUUACGUCAACAGCCGCUCCAGUCUAAGCCCCGCCCACUAAAGGCUAAACAAGGCUGCCCAUUUCCCUUCUUUCCUCACUUUUCAUCAAGCCGAGUUCCAGGAAGUUUCUCCCUCUGUUGACAGGCAAAAUGUUUCCCUUUGACUUGUUUUCAGCGACCACCUGGACUUUAGUGGCUCUGUGUUUCACCCUCUUUAUCCUGUUAGUAGAUAAUGUCGAUUACAUUUCCGUGGCCAUAACAAGGACGGUUGUUCGUUUGUAAUUUCUGUAACUGUCUUUUUAUUACUCAGGUAUGGACUGUGGCCUUAUAAGUUUUUCCAAAAAAUGGGAGUGCGUGGACCGAGGCCACUGCCUUUUAUCGGGACAAUGCACAACAUGGGAAAGGUAAGGGAAAAAAACAAACAAACCACAGAGGCAAUGUGAGGGUGUUUCUGAUGACCAUUACAGUGUAGUUUGUUGACCCUCCAGGAACUAACCCAGUGACACAGCUUGUGUUAAUAUGCUGACUUUAUGGUUGGAUUUAUCCUUCAAUUGAACUUUUAAACACCUGUUGACACAUUUAAUGAAAUGUCUUGCAGGGAAUAAUUGGUUUUGACCGUGAGUGCCAGAACAAAUACGGGGAUGUGUGGGGGUGAGUUUUUACUUCAUCGUUUAAAAUACUGACAUGUGACACAAGUGGUGGGAAAAGAGGUCUGGAUUUUAGCAAAAUAAGGUCAUGGCAAGACUGAGAGGAAAAAAAUCAUAGUGCUUCACAAAGAAUAGAAGUGUCUUUUAUGAUGCUCCAUAACAUGUGUUAAAUCCAUGUUGUUUUUUUGUUUUGUGCAGAUUGUUUGAUGGACGAACACCUUUCCUAAUGGUGGCAGAUCCUGAGAUCAUUAAAACUGUGUUGGUGAAAGAGUGCUACUCAGUGUUCACCAACCGCAGGGUAAAAGACUACACAUAGUUUUUUUUUUUUCUUCAGUGUCUGGAUGUUAAACAAAGAGUGACUCUUAAUUGCAGAGUUGUGCAAGAUAUUACCGUUAUUACAUAACUCUUGGUAAUCCCAUGAAACACUCUCAGUUGAAGGUAGGGUAAAGUGAACAGCCCAUGACCUUGUCACAAGAGUAGCAAUACCUUUUACACCACCAAAUUACUGAACAGAUACUUCUAAUAUCCAGCAAAAAGUUCACCACUUCUACUUUUGUUUCUGGACCACAAAUGAAAAAAUUGACAGCUGCGUGUAUUUGACACACGUUCAGAUUUGUAGUUAUAUCCUGUUGACAUUACAGGCAACUUGAAAAAAAAACACAGACCUAAUCUCUUUACUGCUUUACAGGCGCCAUAAAAGAUCACUCAUAUUAGAGGAGUAAAACCCAUAUGUAGGUUUAGAAAAUGUAAACAGUUUGUACUGAUCAUGUUGAGAACUUGAACCUACGAACGUCACAAAGAUAAAAAAAAAUGUUUUUUUUAACCAAAUGUGUUUCACAGAAAACUCUUUAUGUAAUGGAUGGACCCCUGUAAAAAGUUUUAACUAAAAAAAGAAAGUGAAAUUUCUACUGAUACCUAUUUAUGAGUGACAAAAGCAAACAAGGCCAUGAUCCACAGGACUGAUAAUGUGUGCCGCUUUAAAUGUCUAAAAUAGCUGCUGUAGGGUAAAUGUCAAACAGAGUGAGUUAUUGCAUGUACUGUGACAAUCUCCAAAACAGAGAUAUAUGAUGAGAGAGUAAGAUUCUUAUCGAAAACUGCUUCUCACACAUAUACAGAAUAAGUUUGGCAAAGUUGCUUAAAUAGCCCUUUAAUGUUGACGCACAGUUCUGGGGCAUUGUCAACUUAGUGUAAAGACUGGAAAUAAACUAAUUUGGCUGCAGUCAGCCAUAGUUAUUUUGCCUAACACUAACAAACCCAAUUCCUAAAAGUUGGGAUGAUGUUUAAAAUGUUGAUAUGAGCAGAUUUUUAUGGGUGGUUUGCUAAAUUGAGACAAUAGACAGAAACUCAAAAGAUGAGACUAAAAACUGUUAUUUGCGUUUUUUAAAUUUAAUGCCAGCAAGACGUUCAAAUACAAAAUACAAAAACAACAGCCACUUCUCUGGAUCUGAGCCCAUUUAAAGAUGGACUCAGGCAAGGUGGAAAAGUUUCUUUUUGUCUGAAAUAUCAAAAUUUGAAAUUAGAAAAUCAUUGACAGUUCACCCUCCAUCAUCAUCUGGCUUGAUAUCAGCAGACAGUUCAAAAGUCAGCGUCUGGGAUAGUAUAGGAAUGCAGAAAUGCUUAUAACAUAGGUCGCCUCCACAGUCCUGACUUGCCACCAAUUGAAAACAUUUGUUACAUCAUGAAUCAAAAACUAUCACAAAAGAGACCUGAAAUACUGAGCAGACAAAAUUCUUGAUCAGAAAAAAUGGAACAGUAUUUCACUUUCAAAACUCCAGAAACUGGCCUGUUGUUAAAAGAGGUGUUGCAACGCAGUGGUGAACUAAUGUGUUUGUGCACCACCAUUUAAUAUGCUGUCUGAGAAAGAUUUUGCCUAAUAGUAUUUUCAAAUCAACCGGGAGUCAGACAGUUCAUUCAGAGUUAAAUGAUUGAGCCCUGAGCGGAUGAGAUCACCUGUAUGGCCUGGGAAAUUGAAAUGCUGCAAAGUUUUGUGCACAAAAUAACAAGAAUUCACACUGUAGUAAAUUGGGAUUUUUUUAUUACAGGACAACAUGUUUGGAGGACCUUUUGAGGACUCAAUAAUAUCAGUUAAAGAUGAUAGGUGGAAAAGAAUAAGGAGCACACUCUCACCAUGCUUCACCAGUGGAAGACUGAAACAGGUCAGUGUUGUAUCUGUUUCACUACCCUCUUCUAUAACAUGUAAUUUAACUAAGUGCUGUAUCUUUUGCUUCGAUUGAAAAAAAUGAAUGUGUACAGUAUAUAAUAUCAUGCAUGUAUUCUUUUCUGAAGGUUUUUCCCAUCGUUGUUCGUUAUGCAGACCGGCUGGUGGAAAAGCUUGGAGAGAAAAAAACGAAUGAAUCGGUCGAUAUCAAACAGUAUGUUCACUACUUAUGAUCAUGUCAUUGUCAAAGAGGUAGUAUUUACUGAGUACCAUACUUAAGACCGAUAUGAAAGUGAAUCUUAGCUACUAAUUAAAUGAAACUGCAGUCAUCACAGGCUGUCCAGUUAGAACAUGAAACAUGCUGGCAAAUGACAUCCAAGCUAACACACUCUCUUGAGAUUUCACUCAUUUAUUGUCUGCUACAAUAUAACUAUACACAAGGAACAAUGGUAAAUAUCAGUGAAAAAAAAUGCUUUGACUAAUUGAUAUAAUUUAAUAUAAUAUGAUAUGAUAUGGUUGAGGAUGUUUGUAAUUAAGUAAAUGAACACAAUAGCAUUUAAUCUAUUUGGGCUCCUCUCCCUUUUCUCUAGGUUUAUUGGACCCUACAGUUUGGAUGUUAUCACCAGUGUGUCUUUCGGUGUUGAAGCAGAUGCCAUACAAAAUCCAGAGGACCCGCUGGUUGUUCAUAUCAAAAAGAUUUUAAACUUUAAAUUUUGGCCAAUCCUUUUAACAAGUGCGUUCUCACCUCACUUCUACUGCAGACAAAGAUCAUUUCAUCAUCAGAAUACUUUUGUAUGCAAAGUCUGGUUAAUAAUCCCUCUGUGUCUCUUCAGUGAUAUUUCCCUUUGGCGCUCAUUUGUUGAAGCUCCUUGAUGUUGACAUAAUGCCAAAACUCAGCGUGAACUAUUUCUACGACAUCAUCAAGAGAUUUAAAGACGAGCAUCAGUCUGAAAAAUCAGUAAGUCUCUCCUCUGACAGAGAAUUGAAGGAACUUUUUGAUAUUUUGGAAAAUACACUGACUUCAUCUUUAGAAGUUACAAGAUAAGACAGACAGAGUCAACAGUCAUUGUAAAAAACUAAUUUAUCCACUAGCUAACUAACCAGGUAUGAUAUGUGCUGACAUCUGCUGCCAUUUGUUUGUUUGUUCCAUAUGAUCAUAAUGUGAAUGGACUUUUACCAACUAACAAAACAGUCUACAGAUCUCUUGGUCUGUCAGUUCAAAUCCCACACAGUAAUUCAUAUGAUUUGUCUUAUUGUUGCUUGAAAAUUUAUGAGGAUAAUAACCCUACAAGCAUGGCUUAAUAAUUGAAAUCAGUGACUUUUAACUGAGGUGACAUCUUGCAGACAGCAAGCAGCACCAAAGUUUGAACCAUAAACAUAAGUCUAUGGUUAACAUUAGGGAGCAUCCACUGAAUGAGAUAUCUCAGUGAAUGCUUUUACAUUUAGAGGUGAUACACAUUCCGUUGCAUUGUCUAGUUUAAUGUUAAUAUGUUCUGUGCACAGGUCCGAGCAGACUUUCUCCAGGUGAUGGUUCAGAGCGAGAUACCAGAUUCGGAUGUAAAGAGUGAACAGGACCAACCCAGUAAAGGUAUGUUUACAGCACAACAAGGAUUCAGGCUCUUCAACUACUUCAAUCAUUACAUUUACAUUGACCGAACACACAAUUAAAUGUUAGCUUACCUGAUAUAGCUGCCCUCUGUUUAUUGUAUCUGAGGAAUAAAUACACUGAUUACAUUUUGAUCAGCUGUUGAUCUAUCUGGUAACAUUUUUUUUUGUGUGUUUUGUUUCAGGUUUGACUGAGCACGAGAUUCUCUCCCAGGCCUUCCUCUUUAUUUUUGGUGGCUAUGACACCACCAGUGCCACUCUCAGUUAUAUUAUGUACAACCUGGCCACCAACCCUGAUGCCAUGCAGACCUUACAGGAAGAAAUUGAUGCCAACGUGCCAAAAGAUGUACAGUCAUUCUUGCAUUCAUCUUAUUUACAACUUUAGAAUAACUGGAACAAUGUUUGUUUGACACCUCUUUUCACCCUCUCUGUCCAGGCCCCUGUUUCAUAUGAGAAUCUGUCCAGUCUACAGUACCUGGACCAGGUAAUUAAUGAGUCAAUGCGUUUGCUUCCAACUGCACCUCGGCUGGAGAGGGUGUGCAAAAAAUCUGUCCAGGUCCACGGCCUCAACAUACCUGAAGGAACUCUCAUUGGGAUUCCUGCACACUUAUUACACAUGGACCCUCGCUAUUGGAGUUCUCCUGAGAAGUUCAGACCAGAGAGGUAAGUGUACAAAAACCUGUCGUGUUUUUCUCCUUUUACGCAUGAACCUGUAAAGAGAGGGGACAUUCUUUCUUUUUUUGUUUUUGUUUGGGAACCAAAGCAAAUGUUAUGAGGUAACAUCAGCACAUUGUUCAUAAAGUGAAACUUUUGGUCUCUGAGCUGAUGUGGAGUAUUCUGCUGUAUCACAUCUUCUUUAAAAGACAGGUUUCAUGUCCACUUAUCAGUCAUGAUGGUCAGAAUGUGAAACAGAGAGAAACUAAUAAGUUUUUUCUUGGUAAUGGCAGGGACUACAUUUACUACUUAAGAGUAACAAGAGAAGAGGCAAGAAGCCAGAGUGCUGAAUGACACAGUGCUGAAAAUAACAGGAACAUCUUUUCAGGAUGUGCAGAUGUAAGCAUAGGAAGUCACUUAGUCUUGUCUGUAAUGUUAACCUCUGACUUACUUGCAAACUGAAAGAAUCACUGCAUUAAGUUUUUAGAAUCAACCACUUAAUUGAAAACAAUUACACAGUUUUUUCAGGUAAUAAUUCAUACUUUUGCAAUACAAUGCAUGGCUUUCUGUCCUGAUCCCCCUGAUUACUACAGUAACUAUGUCAUGUGUGUAUAUGUGUGCAGGUUCAGUGAAGACGGGGAGGAGGUGAACCCAUACGCAUUCAUGCCAUUUGGACUCGGUCCCCGCAACUGCAUUGGGAUGCGUUAUGCUCUCCUCACAGUGAAGAUGGUUCUUGUCCGUCUUCUGCAGAAUUACACUGUGGAAACAUGCAAAGACACUAUGGUAAGAGUUUGAAUGUGUAUGUGAGCUCAGAUUGUUCACCUUUAAUCCAACUCUUCUUUUACUAAUAUACAAACUGUACUUUUCUCCCGUUAGAUUCCUUUGGAGUUUGACUGGAAGUUCCAGCCAAAAAAGCCAGUAAAACUCAGCUUUGUCCCCAGACAGUAGUUAUCAAACUGGGAGUGAACUGUAUCAAAUACUGCUGAAUUGGCCACAUUAUUUACCUUUAUGUUUUUGUAUGCAUUUCCUUUGAGAUUUUAAUGUAUUCACUUUUGUCUUUAUACAAUAUAUGAGUUGAUUCACUGUUGUCAAUGAUGCACUGAAAAUGUAUGAAUGUAUAACUACAAUAAAAUAUAUCAAUUAUAAGAAAUUGC